GCACAGCUGAGGAGUCCCACAAUAGGACGAAACGGCCGUUCAGUGC
rnacentral:hammerhead_ribozyme from 1 species